rnacentral:lncRNA from 1 species
AUAGGUACUGAUGCACCUUUGGGAUAAUGUAUCAGGUACCAUUGCUUGAGCCUCACUAAAGAUGUUCCUGGUCAGUUCCUAGCUUCUCUAAGAUGGCUGAGAAGUCUGUUGAGAGGGGGAGAUCCAAACCAGUUCUAUGAAGAGGGCAAGCCGUGUGUGAAGUGUUGAUCAGCCUCACUAGUGUUUUGAAGAUGAUCUGGUCGUGUCCUAGCUUCUCUAAGAUGGCUGUGAAGUCAGUUGAGAGGGGGAGACUUCAAACCGGUUCCAUGAAGAGGUGAAGCUGAAGUGUGAAGUGUGCGCAAAGCUGUGAAGAGUUGCUGCACCUGUUAGGCCGUGAUCCAGAGCUUCUUGUGUCCAACCACACUGGUUCUAAGGCACAAGAGCUCACUGGCCAAUCCCUAGGCUUUGGAGAGCUCUACUCUUUUUCCCUUGCAAGGUUUUGUCCCAAUGGGUUUUCCUUGUAAGGUUUUUAAUGAGGGAGACUCUUCAGAGUUCCAAGCUUGGCUUAGGAUCUCCUAAAGUCAAGCUUGAGGGGGAGUGUUGAACUGAAGAGAAGAUAGAGCUUGUACAAUAAUAGGGCAAGCUCUAGAAGAUGUCCAGAAGAGUUCAAUCAAGCUUCAGAAGUGUUCUGAAGUAGUUAUCUUGUGAAGAUAAGUCUAGGAGGGACUUAGACUGAUCAGAAGAAGGGUUUGGAAGAGUUUGAGAGAAGAUGGUCCAAGGUGCAAAGAUAGGGCGUGUGUACGGCCUCGUACGGACAUGGGCAACUAAGAGAAGGUGUGUGGAUCAUCAGAAGAAGGAGGAAGAGUAUUGGGCAUAAAUAGGGCGAGUGGUACGGACAGGAGAUCCGUACCAUCGACCGUACGACCACACCUCUCGACCACAAAUCCGGGAAACUCAAAAGGAGAGAAGUGCAAAGUUAGGGCGUGGCUUGCUUGAAGAAAUGUGACCGUUGGAAGCUAAGGGAGGAGAGGAAUAUUCCUUAGGAUCAGAUGAGUCAAGAGACAGGCUGGAAAGGGAAAGGAGCUUUACCUUUACAGCCUUAGUCACUCACGGAUCCAUCCUAGCCGUGUAAUUCAAAUGAAGCUAUCUCCUCCCUCCAUUCAGUCAAGGCGCGCCUAUCCUGUCCAGCUUGCACUAAGAAGACCAGGACCUGUCUACUCUCAUCCUGUCCAUUCAUUUUAUUCAUCAUUUACAGCCUUAGGAUGUAGGGUUUAUGAGUGAAAUGUAAAGGCAUAUAAAAGCCUUGUAUAUGUGAUUGUAAACACUUAAGUGAGGAGUUGGCAUGAAGAAGUUAUCCCACUUUCAAAUCAGGUGAUUCCAGUUUCCCAGUUUGGGAAUAGCACAGCUUCUUCGUCGUUUUCCUAGCUUCUCUAAGGUGGCUGUGAAGUCUGUUGAGAGGGGGAGAUCCAAACCAGUUCUAUGAAGAGGGCAAGCCGUGUGUGAAGUGUUGAUCAGCCUCACUGGUGUUUUGAAGAUGAUCUGUUCGUGUCCUAGCUUCUCUAAGAUGGCUGUGAAGUCAGUUGAGAUGGGGAGACUUCAAACCGGUCCCAUGAAGAGGUGAAGCUGAAGUAUGAAGUGUGCGCAAAGCUGUGAAGAGUUGCUGCACCAAUUAGGCCGUGAUCCGGAGCUUCUUGUGUCCAACCACACUGGUUCUAAGG